ACUAGUAGUCGUCCGUGAAUGCAACGCAUUUGUCCGAAGUGGUGCUGUGACACUUUAACACACCGCCACCUUCUGUCUUCCUGUGUAAUCGGCUGAUCCGAUCCACCUUAAAAAUGCUGGAUCGGUAUCGGGACAUCCCUAAUUCUCAAGUCCAUCAUACACCCGAGGUGAAGCUGUGUGUCCUCCAGCCUGCAUCAGAGAGGCCAGUCAUCCCAUCGGCUGCACCAGAAAAGCCUUUCAUCACUUAAUCUGCACCAGAGAAGGACCAUUUCAUCUGAGCCACAGCCACUAAUAAGAAUACCACAAACAAAUUUUAACAUUGUCCGAGGAUUGAAGUCCAUAACUGAAGACGAGAUGGCUGUCGAACCAAAUCUGCUGCCACCAUUAGCUGAUCAUCAGUAACAUCAGUAACCUUGAGGAGCGGCUCAAUAGGAUUUAUG